CCAAUAGCGUAUAUUAAAGUUGUUGCAGUUAAAAAGCUCGUAGUUGAAUUUCGGGAUUAGUACGCUGGUCGUGCCUUCGGUAUGUACUGGUGUUACUGGUUCCUACCUUCUGACGAACCGUCAUGUCAUUAAUUUGGUGUGGCGGGAAAUCAGGACUGUUACUUUGAAAAAAUUAGAGUGUUUAAAGCAGGCUCGCGCUUGAAUACAUUAGCAUGGAAUAAUGAAAUAGGACGUUCGAUCCUAUUUUGUUGGUUUCUAGGAUUGACGUAAUGAUUAAUAGGGAGAGUUGGGGGCAUUAGUAUUCAAUUGUCAGAGGGGAAAUUCUUGGAAUUAUUGAAGACUAACUACUGCGAAAGCAGUUGCCAAGGAUGUUUUCAUUAAUCAAGAACGAAAGUUAGGGGAUCGAAGACGAUCAGAUACCGUCGUAGUCUUAACCAUAAACUAUGCCGACUAGGGAUCGGAUGAUGUUAUUUUUAAUGACUCAUUCGGCGCCUUACG
rnacentral:misc_RNA from 1 species